rnacentral:rRNA from 1 species
CCUGCCCACUGAUUUAUUGAAUGGCCGCAGUAAUUUGACUGUGCAAAGGUAGCAUAAUCAUUAGUUUUUUAAUUAAAAGCUUGUAUGAAGGGUUGGACGAGGUAAAAUCUGUCUCUAUUUAAUUUAUUUUAGAAUUUAAUUUUUAAGUUAAAAAGCUUAAAUUUAAAUAAAAGACGAGAAGACCCUAUAGAUCUUUAUAUUUAUAUAAAUAAUUUUAAUUAGGAAUAUUUUAUUUUUUAUUUUUAUAAGUAUUUUAUUGGGGUAAUAAAAAGAUUUAUAAAAUUCUUUUUGAUAUAUUAUAUUGAUUAGUAAAUUUAUGAUCCAAUAAUUUUGAUUAAAAGAUUAAGUUACCUUAGGGAUAACAGCGUAAUUUUUUUAGAGAGUUCAUAUCGAUAAAAAAGUUUGCGACCUCGAUGUUGGAUUAAAAAUUGUUC